rnacentral:lncRNA from 1 species
CAGAAUUGGAAGAAAGAGGCUAUAAUAAAAAUACACACUGCUGUUGCUUCAGCAUCCUCAAUUCUCCGCUCAUUUUCUGCACAUCACUCUACAUGCCUAACGAAAAAAAAAGAAGUAUAGUAAAUUCCCAUCUCUGUUAAAACUGGUAAUGGGUUCAGGCGCUGAUGCAUUCACAACAUGAAACAUCAACUUCUUCAUUCGGCCCAAAGUCCUAGGAGUUAAUUCCCUGUACUGCAUGAAGUGUCAAGGUAAUUACAGAAGACCAGCCCUAUUUCUCCGUGCGCCGCCUGGCUUCCCGAGCCCCUCUGUUUACAGAUGCACCAACGCAGAACCACAGUGCUUUCAUUCAGCUGAGCUUCUUAAUCGAAAAGAUUCCACUGAGGAACAGAAAGAUGCCCUGAUUUCAUGUGUCUUACAUACUUGAAAAUAUUGCUGAAGAGUCGAGCAGAAUGUAGACCGGAGAGCACAAGAAUCUGAAGCUGAGCCUUCAGGGCUCUGUGCCCUAAAUGCUGACACUAGCUUUGACAUCUUGUCCUUCCGCAUCCCUGGUCCCCAAGUUUAAUGGCCAGGUGGAAAGGUGAGGGGCACCCCCUGGGGCUCUUCCCCAGCUCCUGAGUCCCGACGCAUCUCCCCAGGGAGCCGUCUCUCAGCCUGUCCUCAGUCUGGAACUGGGCAUCAGUUGGUUAGCUGAUGGGAGCCUGUGUGUGGCAGCCUGUGUGAUGGCAGUGUGUCCAAGGGCCCCUUUCUUCUCUGGAAUGCCACCAGCCAGCAGUCAGAGAAACAGCAGAGAGAGAACACUAGGAUAGCCCAGUCCCAGCUCUGCCAGGAAAAGGAAAGACCGAUCCCAGGAAGAGGGAACAGAGUGGCAAGGAUGGAUACAUAUGUAACUCUACUAAUCCCCAGUGACAGUCCUGGGGUUUCAGAACGACCUUCGUAGCACAGUGGAAUUUCUUCAUUAAAGAGCUGCUGAAGGGGGCGGAAGGGAGAAGUCAUCUCCCUAAGCCGUGUGGCAGUAUCUUGGGGACACCAAGCUAACACAUUUCCAGCGAUCACGAAGACUUCAGCUCCACUCUUCCUCUGCCACACUUCUAAUCAGAGAAUUUCUUCCUGUGCCUUGUUUACUGUUGAUAUUUUCAGGCUGAUUGGAGAGGAAUGACAUUUUGACAAUUUACUAUAGCAGUAAGCACUGUGCAAACAAAAGGUGCUGAUGAAAACGGGAACCCAUUAUUAUGUAAAUGACAGCUGAGUAACACAGACUCCAUCUCCCAGUCACCAUCAUUGAGACCAGUUUUACUCAAUGAUAAUAAUUUUCAUGAUUGCAGACUUCAGAGUGAUCAGAAAUAUGCUUUCGCUGUUGCAUUUAUCUACCGCUGGUACUUGACCCUUAAUUAAAUUCUGAAACUUUUUUAUAUAAUAAAGUAAAAUACAGCUGACA